UACGGAGGGGGCUAGCGUUGUUCGGAAUUACUGGGCGUAAAGCGCACGUAGGCGGCUUUGUAAGUUAGAGGUGAAAGCCCGGGGCUCAACUCCGGAAUUGCCUUUAAGACUGCAUCGCUAGAAUUAUGGAGAGGUAAGUGGAAUUCCGAGUGUAGAGGUGAAAUUCGUAGAUAUUCGGAAGAACACCAGUGGCGAAGGCGACUUGCUGGACACAUAUUGACGCUGAGGUGCGAAAGCGUGGGGAGCAAACAGG
rnacentral:rRNA from 1 species